rnacentral:misc_RNA from 1 species
AAAGUCGUAACAAGGUUUCCGUAGGUGAACCUGCGGAAGGAUCAUUACAAAUUCAAAUAUAAAAAAAAAUUCGGGGGUUAAUCUCUUGUUUUCUUUUUUAUAUUUUUUGAUUUUGUUUUACCGGCUUUACCCGUUGGUAAAACAAGUUAAAAAUCUUUUGUGCACCGUAAAAAGUUCGCGUUUUACAAUAUUGUCAGUCAUUUUUUUCUUUUGGAAAACAAACAAAGUCUUCAAACCGCUUUGUUUGGUCUAUUAAAAUAAAAAAUAACUUUUAACAAUGGAUCUCUUGGCUCUC